CAGAGGAUAGCAGAAGCGUUUGGGAAAGCGCGCCAGAGAGGGUGAGAGCCCCGUAAGCGAAAUCCAAAGAAGGCCUAUCAGUAUCCUGAGUAGGGCGGGACACGUGAAAUCCCGUUUGAAUCCGCGAGGACCAUCUCGCAAGGCUAAAUACUAACCAGUGACCGAUAGUGAACCAGUACCGUGAGGGAAAGGUGAAAAGAACCCCGGGAGGGGAGUGAAAGAGAACCUGAAACCGUGUGCCUACAAGUAGUCAGAGCCCGUUAACGGGUAAUGGCGUGCCUUUUGUAGAAUGAACCGGCGAGUUGCGUUAGUCAGCAAGGUUAAGUCAGAAAAGACGGAGCCGUAGCGAAAGCGAGUCUGAAGAGGGCGAGCAGUUGGCUGACGCAGACCCGAAACCAAGUGACCUACCCAUGACCAGGUUGAAGGCGCGGUAAAACGCGCUGGAGGACCGAACCCACGUAAGUUGAAAAUUGCGGGGAUGAGUUGUGGGUAGCGGUGAAAUUCCAAACGAACUUGGAGAUAGCUGGUUCUCUCCGAAAUAGCUUUAGGGCUAGCCUCGCAAAGAGGAUGCUGGAGGUAGAGCUCUGUUUGGACUAGGGGCCCGUCAAGGGUUACUGAAUUCAGAUAAACUGCGAAUUCCAGACAUUUAUGUGCGGGAGUCAGACUGCGAGUGAUAAGAUCCGUAGUCGAAAGGGAAACAGCCCAGAUCACCAGUUAAGGUCCCAAAAUUCAUGCUAAGUGGAAAAGGAUGUGGAGUUGCGCAGACAACUAGGACGUUGGCUCAGAAGCAGCCAUCAUUCAAAGAGUGCGUAAUAGCUCACUAGUCGAGUGACGCCGCGCCGAAAAUUUACCGGGGCUAAGCAUGAUACCGAAACUGUGGAUGUGCAUUUAUGCA
rnacentral:rRNA from 1 species